UGUGGAGCCCCUACUGUGUGCAAAGAAAUUAUCUGAGCUCUCUGGCUUCACACCCUAAGCCCAACUCUGAUCCACUAAGCACUGUGCAGCUUCAGACCCACCACUGCUGGUCUCCCAUCUUUCUCCAAACAACGGUGCCUGUGUGUUGAGCACUUCAGGGCAAACACGCCUGCCAUGACGGAGCCCCUUUCUGUGCAGAUGCUGAAUACACACCAGCCCCCACUCCCAUGGCUGCUUUGCAAGGACAGUGUUAAUUGUCCUCACUUUGUAAACAAGAAAAACUGAAGCUCAGAAAGGAGAGAUGGAGGGUGGUAAGGUCGGGCAGUGUACACAUAUGGUGAUAUCAUUGGACAUUUUGUAUUGAAUGAUGGCGUGUUGAACACAGAAUCAGAUACUUUUACUUUAUUUUA